UGGGGAAUAUUGGACAAUGGGCGAAAGCCUGAUCCAGCCAUGCCGCGUGUGUGAAGAAGGUCUUCGGAUUGUAAAGCACUUUAAGUUGGGAGGAAGGGCAUUAACCUAAUACGUUAGUGUUUUGACGUUACCGUCAGAAUAAGCACCGGCUAACUCUGUGCCAGCAGCCGCGGUAAUACAGAGGGUGCAAGCGUUAAUCGGAAUUACUGGGCGUAAAGCGCGCGUAGGUGGUUUGUUAAGUUGGAUGUGAAAUCCCCGGGCUCAACCUGGGAACUGCAUUCAAAACUGACUGACUAGAGUAUGGUAGAGGGUGGUGGAAUUUCCUGUGUAGCGGUGAAAUGCGUAGAUAUAGGAAGGAACACCAGUGGCGAAGGCGACCACCUGGACUAAUACUGACACUGAGGUGCGAAAGCGUGGGGAGCAAACA
rnacentral:rRNA from 1 species